CCCGGGUCUUGUACACACCGCCCGUCACACCAUGGGAGCGGGUUUCACCAGAAGUAGCUAGCCUAACCGCAAGGGGGCGGUUACCACGGUGAGAUUCGUGACUGGGGUG
rnacentral:rRNA from 1 species